AACACCUCAAAGCUUUCCAUUUUUUGAAAAGCCUUGGACUUGAGCGAACCCAACACCUUUCUAUUUCAGAUCGGCGGCGGGUUGCUUGAAAUGCAGGUGCAGCUGGACAUUCUCCUGAGCUAAAAGCAUAUUUAUUUAGUCCCGUCAAACGGAUUAUUACUUUUGCUGCAGCUUACAUAAAGGGAGUUUGACCUUAUUGGCUGACUGAUGCAGGAUUUCACAAGGGUCGGCAACGAUUUUUGUAAA
rnacentral:misc_RNA from 1 species